UAGUGAGUUUGAUCCUGGCUCAGAACGAACGCUGGCGGCAGGCUUAACACAUGCAAGUCGAACGGUUGUAGCAAUACAGCAGUGGCAGACGGGUGAGUAACACGUGGGAACCUUCCUAGGGGUACGGAACAACUCAGGGAAACUUGAGCUAAUACCGUAUACGUCCGUGAGGAGAAAGAUUUAUCGCCCUUAGACGGGCCCGCGUCGGAUUAGGUAGUUGGUGGGGUAACGGCCUACCAAGCCUACGAUCCGUAGCUGAUCUUAGAGGA
rnacentral:rRNA from 1 species